UGAGGAAUAUUGGACAAUGGGCGCAAGCCUGAUCCAGCCAUGCCGCGUGAAGGAAGAAGCAUCUAUGGUGUGUAAACUGCUUUUGUACGGGAAGAAACACUCCUUCGUGAAGGAGCUUGACGGUACCGUAAGAAUAAGGAUCGGCUAACUCCGUGCCAGCAGCCGCGGUAAUACGGAGGAUCCAAGCGUUAUCCGGAAUCAUUGGGUUUAAAGGGUCCGUAGGCGGUUGAGUAAGUCAGUGGUGAAAGCCCAUGGCUCAACGAUGGAACGGCCAUUGAUACUGCUAGACUUGAAUUAUUAGGAAGUAACUAGAAUAUGUAGUGUAGCGGUGAAAUGCUUAGAUAUUACAUGGAAUACCGAUUGCGAAGGCAGUUUACUACUUGUGGAUUGACGCUGAUGGACGAAAGCGUGGGGAGCGAACA
rnacentral:rRNA from 1 species